AUCCAUUCGGGGACAUCCGAUGAAAUUGGAACGAAACAAAGAAGAUUAACAUGACCCCUGAUGCAAGGAUGGCACGCAUAUAUCGAGAAAAAAUAGUUUACUAU